rnacentral:lncRNA from 1 species
CGAGAGGUUUUGACCGAAAGCAAUGAAGACAAAAGAAUAAAACAAAAAUAUAAAAGUUGUAAAAGCCCAAUUAGAUAAAAACUUGCAAGAGGGGUGCACAAAUAAUAAAAAAGGUGCAGAAAGAAGGCCCAAGAGUAAAGGGAAAGCCCAUUAAAGAAACUCUAUAAAUAGGAGUUCAGAGAUAGAAAGAGGUAAGAGUGAUUUUAUCUGAUGAAUAUUAAACCUUUUCUGACUUUGGCAUCGGAGCAACUUGCAGGUACCCCCACCUGUCGUGAGGAGAAGCCGAGAGCACCAGUCUAGAAGAGUAGCCGAGAGCACCAGCCUAGAAGAGAAGCCGAGAGCACCAGCCUAGAGGAGAAGCCGAGAGUGUCAGCCGAGAGCAUUAACCGAGAGUACCAGCCAAGAGAAGAAGUCAAGAGUUCCCACCAAGGAAAGAAAUUAAGUCUUGUUAACCUUUUUCGAGUAUUCUUGGUCCUUGUUGUAAAAACAAAAAUAAAAAUGUGGAUAAAAAAAAUAAAGAACUUAUGUGUUUUUAUUAAUAUAUAUAACCUAAUUAAUUUAUAAAUAUAUAUAAACUAUUUUCCAAUAUAUAUAUAUAUAUAUAUAUAUUUCCAUAUAAUACAUCCAAAAUUAAAAGAAAGAUUUUAAAAAUAUAUAAGUAAAUAAAUUCAUACAAUAUAUAUCUUUCUAUACUUUCUUCUCAAAACAGUAUUAUAAUAGUUCAUAGCUCAUGUGACAACAAAUUAAAAAUAAAUAUUGUUAAGUGAUUGUAUUAAUUGUGAUAAAAAAAUGAUUGUAUUAAUUUAAUUAUAAUACAAAUCAUCCAUUCAACAUAAUAUAUGAAUAAUUAAAUGACUUUAAAAAAAAUUAGAAAUUCUAAAUCUUAAAUCUUAAAUUAACAAUCUAAUCUAAUUCUAACAACUUAUAAACUUCUUAAAAACUUACACAAAAACUUAUUAAAUCUCAUUUUUAGGUGGUUAGAAAAAAAAUUAUUGAUUUAUCACUAUUUAAUACUUUCAUUUUUUUUAUUCUUAAUGGUCGUUUCACAUCAAUAAUCCACUAUAUAAUAAAAUCAUUCAUAAAUACUACAUUCAUAUGUAAAAUAUAUAGUCAUAUCUCAUUCUCGAAUAUCAUAAAUUAUUAUAUUUAUUUUUUAAUAUUUUAUGCUAUUUUUUCAUUGAACACUUUAUAAUGCAUGGAUCAUUACAUGUAAACUGCAAUUUAUAAACAUCAUUAUCUAAUCUUAACUUAAAUCAGGAAAAGGAAAAGUUUUAUCCACUAGAUCACGUGUGUUAGUGUUUUCACUUCAGUUCUUAAAAUUUGUUUAACAUUUUUCUUUUAUAAAUGUACUGAUAGGGUAAAACCGAGAGGUUCAUGCCGAGAACUACAUAGUAUAACAAUUAAGAUGAUUAAGUUAAAAUCGAGAGGUUUUGACCGAAAGCAAUGAAGACAAAAGAAUAAAACAAAAAUAUAAAAGUUGUAAAAGCCCAACCAUUCGGAUGAAGCUGAGUAGGUGCGACAUUAAGGAAUUUAAGGACACCUAUUUGAAAGUUGUUCAAAGGCAACCGAAUAUGAAGAUCUCUAAAAAAGCAAGCAUAAAAAUAAAAAAACUCAUAACUAUCACCCUCUCGACCAUGACAAACAUUGUCGGCAUCUCCAACACGCCGAAAAGAAAUAAUAUCAUUUUCAAUGUCAGAAUAAUAAAUUUGAGAAUGGGAAAGGAAACUACGAAGUUCGAUAGCAGAACGAUAUUUGGACAAAUACUCUCGGACUUUAGGAUUAACCCAUUGGUAACUGGACGAAGAUUUCUCUGAGGCAAUACAAUGCCGAAUUCUUGAGGAGCAUCAACAGCCGGUGCUCCAUUUGAAUCAUUCAUACAAGAAGGGGUAGCAGAUGAAGACUUCGAGUCUUGACGAUCCUCUUCUCGCACCACUCGCCCAGUUGAUUCACCACCCGCGCUUGANNNNNNNNNNNNNNNNNNNNNNNNNNNNNNNNNNNNNNNNNNNNNNNNNNNNNNNNNNNNNNNNNNNNNNNNNNNNNNNNNNNNNNNNNNNNNNNNNNNNCUUUGCACGAACUGGUUACAGAUUGAAAGAAAGCUGCUUUUCUCAAUACACAACGAAACACAUUCGUAAAAAUUUAGAAGAAGACCCUAUUUAUAACCCAAAGUUACAGCAAUCUUAAACCGUUCAAAAAGGUAUAAUCUAACGGUUGCAACAAGAAGUUCACGUCAAAUCAACUUAACUCAGCAAGUUAAGGCACAAAAACCGAGGCAUUCAAUAUCAAAUCAAAUCAAAUGUCAAAUAUACUAUAAUUUAUUAAGACAUGAAUAUUUUACAAGACCUUAAAAUAUUUCUGUCUUGGGGGGCUAGUGUACUGAUAGGGUAAAACCGAGAGGUUCAUGCCGAGAACUACAUAGUAUAACAAUUAAGAUGAUUAAGUUAAAACCGAGAGGUUUUGACCGAAAGCAAUGAAGACAAAAGAAUAAAACAAAAAUAUAAAAGUUGUAAAAGCCCAAUUAGAUAAAAACUUGCAAGAGGGGUGCACAAAUAAUAAAAAAGGUGCAGAAAGAAGGCCCAAGAGUAAAGGGAAAGCCCAUUAAAGAAACUCUAUAAAUAGGAGUUCAGCGACAGAAAGAGGUAAGACUGAUUUUAUCUGAUGAAUAUUAAACCUUUUCUGACUUUGGCAUCGGAGCGACUUGCAGGUACCCCCCACCUGUCGUGAGGAGAAGCCGAGAGCACCAGUCUAGAAGAGUAGCCGAGAGCACCAGCCUAGAAGAGAAGCCGAGAGCACCAGCCUAGAGGAGAAGCCGAGAGUGUCA